UACGUAGGGUGCGAGCGUUAAUCGGAAUUACUGGGCGUAAAGCGUGCGCAGGCGGUUUCGUAAGACCAAUGUGAAAUCCCCGGGCUUAACCUGGGAACUGCAUAGGUGACUGCGAGGCUAGAGUACGGCAGAGGGGGGUAGAAUUCCACGUGUAGCAGUGAAAUGCGUAGAUAUGUGGAGGAAUACCGAUGGCGAAGGCAGCCCCCUGGGUCGAUACUGACGCUCAGGCACGAAAGCGUGGGGAGCAAACAGG
rnacentral:rRNA from 1 species